UACGUAGGCAGCGAGCGUUGUUCGGAGUUACUGGGCGUAAAGAGUGCGUAGGCGGUUUUCUAAGUUUGGUGUGAAAUCUCCCGGCUUAACUGGGAGGGUGCGCCGAAGACUGGAAGGCUAGAGUAUGGGAGAGGUAAGCGGAAUUCCCGGUGUAGCGGUGAAAUGCGUAGAUAUCAGGAGGAACACCUGCGGUGUAGACGGCUUACUGGACCAUAACUGACGCUGAGGCACGAGAGCGUGGGUAGCAAACAGG
rnacentral:rRNA from 1 species